AUGAAAAGAGCACAGCAAAUUUCGAUGGAGUGUUCUCAGAAAAGUAUUUUUGUCACCUACGAUUUAGCAAUAGCAAAGGUUGCAUUUCAAAUUCAAAGUGCUGAAAAGCCGUCUUUUGAUAACUUGUUUAUCCAAAUGGGGGAUUUUCACUCGAUGAUGGCAUUUUUCCACGCGUUAGGAAAAUUCAUCGAAGGAUGCGGUUUGACCGAUGUGCUAACAGACGCAAGUAUCUUAGCUAGUGGCUCCGUUAAUGGAUUUUUGAAAGGGAAACAUUACAACAGGUGUAAACGCGUCCAUCCGAUCGCCGCCCUAUCCUUGCAAAUUUUGCAUUUCCGAGGUUUUUUGGAGUCCAAAAAUAUGUCAGUCAACGACCAAGUUAAGAUGGAAUUAGAAAUAAUGAGUAAAACGCGAUCCGACAGACUAUGUUUAUCAAAAGAUUUAGAAAGUAUUUUUGCGGAGUACGAAGAGUAUUGUGAAGAGACUUUAAAUGGUAAGCAUGGAAAGACAGCGCAAUAUUAUUUUAUCUAUGUUAAGUUUGUUAAUUAUUACUUGAUUCAUAGCAGGAGCAUCAGAGAAGGCGAUUUUGAACUUUAUACUUAUAUCAUUCCAAAAUUAGCAUGUUUGUUUUUCGGUUUAAAUCAACCUAAUUAUGCACGUUGGCUUACUAGAUACCACGAUAGUCUUAUUAAUUUAAAAAUCACGCACCCUGAUCUGAUCCAGCAAAUAGAAUCAGGUUGUUUUGCAAUCAAAAGAACAUCAAUCGAGCUGUCAAGAUCACCGAUUGAUCUUACCUUAGAACAAACAAUAAACGCUGAUGCUGCAAAUAAACUAACGGGAAUAUCUCACUUCACUAAUUCCAUAUCAGCCCGAGAUAGAUGGGCCCGCAUUCACUCCAUCAAAGCAGAAGUAAUUUCAUCCACUUUAGAGGCCAUUGGAAUUCGCAAAAGAAAUGAUAUUGCAGCAGAACUUGCUCCAUCGAGAGUUAAAAAAGAUGAAGAGGCUGUGAAUAAAUUUAUAAUUUCGCUGGGGAGACAUAUAAAUCCUUUUGACACAUCGAUAAGAAAGGAUCAGCUAUUUAAUAUUGCAACAGGUAAAGGAGUUAGUGAUGAAAUCGCCAAUUUUCUGUUAAAUUUAGAAAAAAUUGGAGAGGAAGCUCGAAAUAAGUUCAUAAAAGAAUGUUCUGAGGAUGAUUGUCGACUGGAAAAACCAAUUAAAAAACAGCAAGUUUUGACUUUCACGUGUGAUCAGAUUAAAUGUACCCGAAAAAAUAUCGACAGCAAAUUGGAGGAAGAGAUAAGUAACAAAAAUUUAUUUGCUAGAAUGCUGGCUGUUUCGAUGGAGCAUAAUAUCAAUAUUGCUGAAAUUUUAAAGUAUCCUUUGUCUAUGACUCCGCGUGCACUGAGCCAUGCAGACGGUACCUUUAUCAAGACCGAUAAAUCAGCUUUGAUGAAUCAUAUCGAGAAAAAAGUAGAGCAACCUGAUUUCCCGAACAAAGUUGAUGUGGUGCUGAUUGAUGGAUUUUUCUUACUGCACACGAUGGGUGACAUACCUCGAACUUUCGGUCAGAUUUCGAGGAAAUUUCUGCAACUGGCUACAAAACACAAAGCUGGACAAGUUUUUGUAGUAUUCGACAAUUACCUAAAACCAAGUAUCAAGGAUCAAGAGCGACAACGACGAAUGCAGCACAUAGAAAGCGAAGCCUACAUUAUUCAUGGACCAGAUCAAAUCAAGCCGACCAAAUUUAUGAAUUGCCUUCGCAAUGACGACUUCAAAACAAACUUCGUUAAAUUCAUUGCAGACCAUUGGCAGGAUCCAUCGUGCGCUGAAUAUUUUAAGGACAAGAGCUUAAUCAUGAACGAGAGGAAUACUUGUUACGAGUUUACAUCUAGCAGCGGCGCCGUUACGCGAAUUCGGAAUGAAAAGUUCGAAUGUGUGCAUGAGGAAGCAGACACUCGUCUAUUCUACGCAAUCUCAAAAUUACCGCAGGGGAAAAAUGUCAUCGUCCGUUGCAAUGACACUGACGUGUUGAUAAUUUUGCUCGGAAACUUCCCAAAAAUUCCGGAAAAAACAAAUAUAUGGCUCGAAGUAGGGGUUUUUAGCAACAAUUCUCUUCGAUUUUUGAAUAUCAACACUUUAUUUUCUUUACUCGGUACAGAACUAUGUCUUGCGCUACCAGGUUUCCAUGCAUUUACCGGGUGUGACACCUCCUCGAGCUUCUUCAAGAAAGGAAAAAUCACCCCUUUCAAAAUAAUGCAAAAGAAUCCGGAAUUCGUCGAUUUUUUCAAGAAUUUACACACACACCGUUCAUCCAGCUCCAUUUCCACAUGCCAGGCCGAAAAGUUUGUAUGCAGCUUGUAUGGGCUGUCAAAGUGUGACGACGUCAACGAGGGGAGACUGCGAAAAUUCGAGAUUACGUACAAGCCCAAAAAACUAAAUGAGCCUCUCAUAAAAAAAUUCUCUAAAUUUGACUCGCUGUCUAUCCCCCCUUGCCGUGCAUCACUGCUUCAGCAUCUCAAGAGGAGCAUCUACCAAACCUGUAUCUGGAUCAACGCGGACAAAGCAGACCCAACAGAAGAUCUUAAACCUGAAGAGUUUGGCUGGAAAAUUGGAUCUUCACACACUUUUGAACCACUUUGGUUCGUCGGAGAUGCCGCGCCAUCAACGGUGAUCAACGCUCUUGUUGACGUUGAGUCGUCAGAUGAAGAAUACAGCGCUUCUGAAUGUUCUUCAGAUGAAGAAGAAGAAGGGGCGGAGGCACAAGAAGUAUAACAAUUUGAUCCCAAAUUCCGUCAAGAGUCCAAGGAGUGAAAGUGAAAAAUUAUAGUUAAUAUAAGCCACAAAUACCUCUAAAUAGCUAUUUAGCUGAUAAACAUAAAAUAUGUUUGUCCUUUUAACAAUUUUCUCCUAAAAAUGAAUACAUCUUUUUUCGUUUUCUUUUAAAAAACUGUUUUUUCUCUUCUCUUAUUUGAAUUUCCCAGUGCGACUUGCGAUAAAUCGCAUAGAUUGGUUUCAUUUUUUCAGCCACUCGUCAUUUUUCUUGAAUUUUGAGAUCCCACUUCUAUUGUCAUGAUACCAGAGAAUUCACUCACAGAUUUUGACAAAUAAAUGCAACGUAAUACAAAGCGUGUUUUUUCUAGAAGUAAAAUAUCGCAUUCGAGUGCAGUUUCCAUAUCAGUAUUGAUUUCAUUUAAAAAAACCACGCCCUUGAAUUUGUUUGUCAAAACUGAUACGUGAAUUCUUUAGUCUCCUGAAAACAGAAUUGCGAGCUCAAAAUUCAAGAAAACUGAGGAGUGGCUGAAAAAAUGGAAACAAUCGAUUCGAUAUAUCGCAAGUCGUUCUGACAUAAAAUAUGGCGUGAUCGAAUCACCUAAAAAAUAAAACUUGCGUUGAAUGAAGCAAGCGCGUCUGAGAACAUUUCGUCUUGAGGUCAUUUUCCUAGACAAAGGUUUGUAACAUCAUAUUAUUCCCAGUUUACUCCAGGUGUUCAACCCCCCCCCCCUUCAUGUCACUAAUUCAUGAUAUCGCAAAUCCUCCCUAACCUAUUAUUCUAUGGAUGAAGGACUUGUCAAUGAUAACUUAUCAUUCAAUGCUAACUUUAUCUUGCCGCCCUUGAUACUGGCAACGGAAGGAGGCCGCUGAGCCUUCCAUUAAGCACAAGAGCGGGGCAGAAAAUAUCGAUUUUGGCAACUUUCAUUCAGUCUGGCAACCCUUUCCCAGCAGAGUUCGGCGGUCUGGCAUGGUGAAAUAGGAUCAGGGAAGUCUCCCCUACAAAAUGAGACUAAAAUCAACCAUAAUACUUUCCGGUUAAAUUUUACGCAAUUUUUCGGAACUUUCGGGCGGUCUGGCAACCCUUUCCCAGCGGAGUUCGGCGGUCUGGCAGGGUGAAAUAGAAUCAGGAAAGUCACCCCUACAAAAUGAGACUAAAAUCAACCAUAAUACUUUCCGGUUAAAUUUUACGCAAUUUUUCGGAAAUUUGAUGGGUCUCAAAUUUUGAACCCAGCAGCUAUGACCAGCCAGACCGCCCGAUCCUUGCUACACUCGAGUACCCCGAUCUGAGAAUGUAUGUCAAAAUUCUUAUACUCUCGGGUUAGAUAAAUCGGUGCUGGCUCUUGGACUACAACACGUGUGCCGUAAGUUUCCCUCUGCAGAUAUGUCCUUUUAUAAAUGAGCCAGAAAUAGACGUUCCUAAUUGGGAAACGUAGUCCAAAUGGACGUAUUUCUGCCAAACGGAACUAUGUGCAUGAAUACAUGAGCCCUGAGACCCAUAAGAAUAUGUGCAUGACAAGGCUCAUGUCAUAAUACACAUAGUUCUGUUUGAUAGAAAUACGUCCAAAUGACAAUAAUAUUUUUAAUUUAUUUAUUAAUAAUUUUUUAAAAUACCUCUCGGAUCUGACAACACCGCUCCGCUCAUCAUU
rnacentral:lncRNA from 1 species